rnacentral:misc_RNA from 1 species
UCCUGGUUUCCCAGGCAGUCCCAUCAGAGUGCCUUCUUACGAAGUAGCAACUGACAGUAGGGGUUGCGCUCGUUAUAGGACUUAACCCAACAUCUCACGACACGAGCUGACGACAGCCAUGCAGCACCUGUGCAUACGUCUAUGGUUUCCCAUAGAAGACUCUAUUUCUAGAGCUGGCAUAUGCAUGUCAAACCUAGGUAAGGUUCCUCGCGUAGUGUCGAAUUAAACCACAUGUUCCACCGCUUGUGCGGACCCCCGUCAAUUCCUUUGAGUUUUAAUCUUGCGACCGUAGUCCCCAGGCGGAUCACUUAUCGCGUUAGCUACGACACUAAUUCUGCAGAGCAGAACUAACGUCUAGUGAUCAUCGUUUACAGCGUGGACUAC